AUGGCACUUAGACCACACUGCUUAAUGGACUCCUGUGAGAGGAAAGGGGUUGGCUCAUCAAGCAAGAUGGUCUCUCUGAAUCAGAUCUGCUUGGUGCAAGUGCGAAAGAGACCACAGAUGGAAGCUCACAGAUGGAAGCCUGCUGAUCAUACAGCUGUUUCUUUGUUGGUCCCACUGAUCUUCCCGGGAAGGAAAUGGACAGCUGUCACACUCUGGCCCACUAAGCAUUGGUUGCCAACUGGGAAAGUCAUCAGAAAACUUCCUUGAAAUGGUCAUUGGCAAACCAACUCAAGCUAAAAGGAGACAAUCUUUGGACUCAACUCCCCAUGGAAAAGCUCCAUCAUUUAAGUUGGAAAGGUUUACUGAAGUUUCAUAAAUGUUUAUUGAGCAUCCAUCAUAUCUAAGGACCUGUGGACAUAUUCUACGCAAUGUGAAGAUCAUGGGGUGCGUGAUCGGAUGGGGUGCCAUAUCCUCACCUCUCUCCCACUAUGAUUCCCCUUGAACAGGAGGGCUGUAUGGCAAGUGGCAGACAGCCAACCUGAAUUAACUUAAGCAAGAAAAAAAUGGAAAGAAGGGAGAGGCAAGUCUUGGGAUUUUAUUGGCAUAUCCAUCCAAACUUUGGAAAGAGCAAGGAUGAAAUAUGCAGAACAGAAGUCUAGAAGCAGUGACUCAAACACCAUCUGGAAACUCUGUGUGCAUCUCUUGUCUCUGCUUCUGUUUUUGUUACCCUCUCUCUGGGGCUCUCUCCCCACCUCCAUCCCUCCCUCCCUCCGCCGCUCUCUCUCCUAGCUGCUGUAUUGAGAUAUCAGCCACGGGGCAUAAAAAUGACCCAUUGAAAGUGCACAAUCCAACAACUCUUAGUGUGUUCACAGAGAUGUGCAUCCACCUUCAUAAUGCAUUUUAGAAUAUUUUUAUUUUCUCAAAGAGAAACCUUGCACCUCUUAGCCAUCACCUUCCAUCACCCUCCUCCCAACCUCCCCAUCACCCCCACCACUAGGAAACCACCAAUCUCCCUUCUCUCUCAAUAGAAA
rnacentral:lncRNA from 1 species